GCCGUUUGUGAAUGGUGGGUUGUCGGGUAUGGGUGCGACGUGCGUGAUCCAGCCCGUGGAUAUGAUCAAGGUGCGUAUUCAGCUGGGUCAGGGAAGUGCUUUGGUGGUGGCCAAGAAUGUUAUUGCGAAUGAGGGGUUUGGCGGACUGUACAAGGGUUUGUCCGCUGGGUUGCUGCGGCAAGCUACUUACACGACUGCGAGGCUGGGGACGUUUAGAAUUCUGACUAAUAAGGCUGUGGCGGCGAACGAAGGGAAGCCUUUGCCAUUGUAUCAGAAGGCCUUGUGCGGGUUGACAGCCGGUGCUGUUGGAGCCUCCGUGGGCUCACCUGCAGAUCUUGCCCUAAUCCGGAUGCAGGCGGAUGCUACCCUCCCCGAAGCCCAGAAGCGGCACUACAAGAAUGCCUUCCAUGCCCUCACCCGGAUCUCCAAGGACGAGGGUGUGUUGGCCCUGUGGAAGGGAGCUGGCCCCACUGUGGUGCGAGCCAUGGCAUUGAACAUGGGUAUGCUUGCCUCUUAUGACCAGUCUGUGGAGUUCUUUAGGGACUCUUUGGGCUUCAGUGAAAUUCCCACUCUCGUCGGCGCCAGUGCGGUGUCUGGGUUCUUCGCAUCGGCGUGCAGCUUGCCAUUCGACUACGUGAAGACGCAAGUGCAGAAAAUGCAGCCGGGGCCAGACGGGAAGUACCCAUACACCGGGUCUGUGGACUGCGCGUUGAAGACACUGGCACAGGGAGGACCUUUGAAGUUCUACACCGGAUUCGGAACGUACUGCGUGCGAAUUGCGCCGCAUGUUAUGAUGACCUGGAUCUUCUUGAACGAAAUCCAGAAGUUGGAGAAGGCGUAUGGUUUGUGAAUUAGUCUUCAAAUCACCAAUGUUCGGUUAGUUACAUCCAUGCAUGGUGCCUUCAGUGCCUGAUUACUUUCUCCUACUUUUGGUUACCUGAGAUUUACAAGACUGGUCCCUAGAAGUUUGUGCUGUUAGAUUUAGAUUUCUAAGUUUCUCAUGUCAAGGCAGUUUGUGAUGCUUGUUAGGGCACUAAUACUAAUGUUGGAGGACUUGGGAGAUGUUUUCCCUUUACUGUGGGGCUUUGACCGUAUACGUACAUGCUUCUCUGGAUUUGGGACGUUGUUGCUUAAAUGAUCAUGUGUAGGGGAUAGAAUAAAGCGAUUUUUAGUCAUGAUUGCAGGUCGAUCACCAUUUUGAGAUGUGUUUGUACAUCUGCGACUUGCUCUGUAAUUGCUAUCUGCAUAUGACUAGGUGUCGGGGUAGAGUAGGGAGUGGGUGGGCAAUUGGCCUUCUGUAGCUCACCUCCAAUUCGUUACUGAACAUCUUGACCACCACCCACCUUCUUUGCGCGGAAGGAGAGUGGUCUGUAUUUAAGAAGAAACCAAGAGUACCACUUUUGAUCCAUCUAUGUGCACCUUACUCUGAUGGUUUGGCUCUUACUUGUGUGUCAAUUCUUUCAGUAUAUCGCAUUCGUGGCAUCUGCUUUUCCUUAUGAUGUGUGCAGCCUAUUUUCUAUACUAAACAUCAAGAUGUAAUUUUGUGUUCGAGUUGUGGAGAACAUGUGGAGGAAACAGAUUGGUAACAUAAUGAAAAAAAAUUAGUAUCUACCUAAUUUGCGGGCACAUUUAUGCUUUCUUCUUUUUUCAACAAUGCUGCAGCGAUAUGUGCUCUUGUUACCCAAGAUUAGAUGGUACGCCUUCUUCUGAAUAAUCUGGUCAGCAUUUAACGGCUGAUGCUAAGGAAUUUCUAUGAUCCAUGUAAUGCUGCAACAAGAUCAUUUGUUUUGACUUCCGUUUCCCAGGUGGUUUGGGUCAAGUGUGACUUCAACUCCUGAAAGCAUAAUGGAAUCAACUUAGGAAUGUCGCGGCAGUCAAUUUCGUCAGCGCCAAGUCAGAUUGUUUCAAAGAUCUUCCACCCUCUCCCGAUCUUUCAACUGGCUAUGGUUUCUUCGCUAGACCACCAUGACAUUUAGGUGCGCCAGGAAUUUACUUUCAAAGUCUUUUACAGUCCUCUGAUUCCGAAUGACGGGCUGAGAACCAGGGAUUUCGGUUCGUGAUCUAUCCGCCUUCGCCCACAAUCGCAAUCAGCACCAUUUAUGUCUGAACCAAUUGCACAGAUGCAACAACAUGCUUCAGAAAAUCCUCACAGGACCGAAGAAGCGGCUGAAGCUCUUGACAAGAUGGUUAGAUGUCAUCUUUUGUGACCUGUAACGUGGCUUGGCUGUUGUUCAACGCCAUGCAUGCAGUCGAAUCAUCCAACACUUGGCAGCUGAAAAUUUGUAGAAUAAUGUUGUGAUUUUGAAGUUCACAAGAGCAACUGAUUGGGCAUUUAAAAAGAACUUGACUUUAUUCAGAAUUAAAUCAAGUGUCAAUUUUUUCCCAUUAAACAAAAACAUCUAAAUGCAUUAAUUUUUGUUCUUACCAAUUGAAGAAUUUUAUAAGCAAAUCUUUCAGCCUAGUAAAAAUAAGUAAUACAUCCAUAUUUAUAUUAAAAUAUUACACAUAUUAUGUCAGUGUAUAUAGAUAUCAAGCUUUAUUUCUAUAGAUUUGAAAUUUUGAUAUGCAUAUAAAUGCAUCUAACAUUGUAGUAGGUGUUUUGCUUAUCUAAAACUCAAACUGAAAAGACAUACCAAUUUAUAAUCUUGUUUUGAAUAUAAAUUUGUAAGUCUUUCUAAAACAAUUUACAUUACUGAAGAUUUAUUGAAAAUGUUCUAACUUAUUGGCAUUUAGCAAGAAGUUUAAAAAUAAGGUUAUUUAAAGAACAUUAUUUCAUUUAUAUAUAUAUAUAUAUAUAUAUAUAUAUAUAUACUAUUUUCUUUCUACUUGCUUAGUUAACUAAUCGUGAUAUUUUAUUUUAUAUGAUAAAUUUAAUUAUUUGAAUAAAAUCCAUUAUAUUACAAAAUCCAAAAUUUCUAACAACAUAAACUGAUUUAUUUAAGACUAGAUGUCCAAUAAAUAAGAUAAAAAAAGUUGACACAAGUUUAGACUUAAAUGAUACAAAUUUAUUUUCAAAAGAGUAAAGUAAAUUCUAAAACCCAUAAAACUUAAUACUACUCUUGUAUAAUUUAAUUUCUAAUUAUGAAUAAAAUAAUUUGUUGUAUUAAUAUUUACUAUCAAAAUACUAAAAUAUAUAUUGAAUACUUUAAUGUUAAGUUUAAUCAAAAAUUUUAAUUACCAAUCAACACAAGGGAAUUGCAAAAAAAAAAAAAAAGAAAGAAAAAAGUGUAGAAUAUAUAAUUUCCAAAUAAAAUAAAAAAUGACUAAGUAGAUUAAUUAAUAAAAUUAAUUUUGAAAUUUUUACAAAUUUUAAUGUACAUAAUGAGGUCACAUUUAGCCAUUAAAUACUAUCAAAGAGAAGAAGAAUAAUAGUGCAUUGUAUUUAUUUUCAAAAAAACAUGAAUUUCACCUAUUUGUAUCAGGAACCCCCACAUUGCCAAGAUACAUACAUAUUUCACUCAAUUUUAUACAAACUUCUCAAUUCAUUACAUUUUUUAACCUAUGUCAUAAUUUGAGUUACAAUGAUUAUGCCAAAUAUCAGAAUAUAUUUAUAUCUAGGCUUAAUUACAAUCCCAAUACUUUUACCCAUUUACCCUAUUACAUCAUAUUCUAAGAAGCUUCUAUCAGAACUUUUUAUUAACUUUUUACAUAUUUUCUAAAACCUUAUGCAUACAAAUAAUUUAUGUUUUUUUAUAGAAUCUACAAUCAUUUCAAUAAAUGCAUCAGUUUUAUUCAAUAAGGAUAACUAUUAUGCUAUUGUAUUAAAAAAAUAAAGGUAAAACUAAAAAUUAUUUAGAAUUUUAAACUUGUCUUCUUAUUUCUGCUAUAUACAUUAAAAAUAUACAUAUAUAAUUUUAUUUCUUUUUUGUAGAAUGCUCUAAAUGUUUUUUUAGGUGUUCAUAAAAUAAUAAAUAAAUAAACAAGUAGCAUGAAGUUUCAAGAAAAUUACUCUUAUUUUUUUAUAUCAAAUUUUACAAAUAUUUUUUUCUCAACGAUAUAUCAAGUAUUAUAAAUAUGUCUUUAAAUUUUAUUUUCAUAUUGUUUUUUUAAAUAAUAUUUUUCUAAUCAUAUGUAAUUAAAUAUUAGAAAGGUUAGAAAAAUUAUGUUUAACUUACAUGUAAUUUAAGGAAGUCAUUUUUAUUUUUAUUUUUAUAACGAAUAUAUUUUAAGCACGAAAUUAUACCAUAGAAAAAUUAUCAUUCUGCCUUCAAACAUAUGAGGAUCCAUAUAAGUCAUGGAUAGCUGCAUUUAAUCUUGAGAAUAGAUUGACAGUGACUUUCACAUACUUGUAGAUUAACAACAUAGCGAGUGGGAAUUCCUAGACCCAUGCAAACUGUGUAAAUGUAGGAAUUCACUGAUUCAAGCAACGGAUUCGUCACGAGACGUGGGUCACGAGGAGGAUGAUGAUGCAAAGGUGCGGCACAAUCUCCUCCCCCUCGCGACGACGACGACGAGGGAGGAUGCUUGUCAUCUCCCCGCCUGCCAGCUUGCCUUGAUCGUCGACCCCGAAUGCGCUUGGAACCAUGGCAGACACGAUAAUCACGAAUAGAGAGAGAGAAUCAUGCUCGGAGGAGAUAGCUGCGGAAGGAAGGAAAAAAACACACUAGACCAGCAUCAAUAACAACAACAACAAUAACAUCUCCCUUGAACAUGGGACCGCCCGAUCUCAAACCCGCCCUUUGGCUCUUCGACCUCGUCGUCAGACUACUGAUUCCAUGGGCUGUGAGGGAAUCUAGUGCUCUGGGAUGAUCGUUCCCCAUGUGCUCGCUCGUCUUCUAGUAGAAGAAGUCCCAUCACCUGGCGUUUCUCAGAUAUGCAGAAACAGAUCUCCCGGGAUGAUGGUGGUAGUGUUGAUCAUGCGAAUAGCUUUCUGGUGUUUAUAGCACGGAGCUUGGGAGUGAGCAGAGUCUCGAUCUCGACAUUCAGGCUUCGUCGUGAGAUUCUUUUGUGGUUGGAGACCGGCAGAGACUGAACGAUGGCUGCGCUUGACGCCACGAAGUCGCAAGCGCCCCCAGUGGCGACCGUAGGCACUGGGAAGGCAACGUCGACAGUGUGGACGACUAUUAAACCAUUUGUGAAUGGUGGGUUGUCGGGAAUGGGUGCGACGUGCGUGAUCCAGCCCGUGGAUAUGAUCAAGGUGCGUAUUCAGCUGGGUCAGGGAAGUGCUUUGGUGGUGGCCAAGAAUGUUAUUGCGAAUGAGGGGUUUGGCGGACUGUACAAGGGUUUGUCCGCUGGGUUGCUGCGGCAAGCUACCUACACAACUACGAGGCUAGGAACGUUCAGAGCGCUCACCAGCAAAGCCAUUGCAGCCAAUGACGGGAAGCCUUUGCCAUUGUAUCAGAAGGCCUUGUGCGGGUUGACAGCCGGUGCUGUUGGAGCCUCCGUGGGCUCACCUGCAGAUCUUGCCCUAAUCCGGAUGCAGGCGGAUGCUAUCCUCCACGAAGCCCAGAAGCGGCACUACAAGAAUGCCUUCCAUGCCCUCACCCGGAUCUCCAAGGACGAGGGUGUGUUGGCCCUGUGGAAGGGAGCUGGCCCCACUGUGGUGCGAGCCAUGGCAUUGAACAUGGGUAUGCUUGCCUCUUAUGACCAGUCUGUGGAGUUCUUUAGGGAC
rnacentral:lncRNA from 1 species